UCCAGACUCCUACGGGAGGCAGCAGUGAGGAAUAUUGGUCAAUGGGCGAGAGCCUGAACCAGCCAAGUCGCGUGAGGGAAGACGGUCCUAUGGAUUGUAAACCUCUUUUGCCGGGGAGCAAAAAGCGGUACGUGUACCGCAUCGAGAGUACCCGGAGAAAAAGCAUCGGCUAACUCCGUGCCAGCAGCCGCGGUAAUACGGAGGAUGCGAGCGUUAUCCGGAUUUAUUGGGUUUAAAGGGUGCGCAGGCGGGGAGUUAAGUCAGCGGUAAAAUUGGGAGGCUCAACCUCGUCGAGCCGUUGAAACUGGUUUUCUUGAGUGAGUGAGAAGUAUGCGGAAUGCGUGGUGUAGCGGUGAAAUGCAUAGAUAUCACGCAGAACUCCGAUUGCGAAGGCAGCAUACCGGCGCCCAACUGACGCUGAAGCACGAAAGCGUGGGGAUCGAACAGGAUUAGAUACCCUUGUA
rnacentral:rRNA from 1 species